GCGGCCGGAAUGAUCGAAAAGGACUCAUAAUCCGUCGGCCGUGGGUUCGAGUCCCACCCGCCCCA
rnacentral:tRNA from 1 species